GCCUGGGUGGCUCAGUUGGUUAAGUGUCUGACUUCGGCUCAGGUCAUGAUCUCGCAGUUUGUGAGUUCGAGCCCCAUGUCAGGCU
rnacentral:tRNA from 1 species